rnacentral:lncRNA from 10 species
UAGCAUAUAAAUAGAAUGCUAAAAGAACAUCAGCAAAAAGCAGGAAAUAGGUGUCAAUUUUUUAUUUAGCUGCCCAUGUCUCAGAUAAAGUACUUGAUGUAGAAAAUAACAAUACUUUUCUCCAAGGUUUUCCAAUGUUAGGACAAAGGGAAGUAUCCCAAUUUACCCAGAAUCUGUAAGACACUGUCAAAUUGGAAUUGAAUCAGCAAUUAGGACAGGUGAACUUUGCCUUAUGAACAUUAGAAUCAGCCAAUUUAUUCACUCAACAAGCAUAUUCUUUCAUGCCAGGAUUCUUGAGGAAACUGGGGAUGCAAAGAUGAACAUGAUACACUGAAGGUACAAAAAAUAUAAUUAUUUAUUGAAGAUGAGCAUUGUGUCAUGGGAGCACAGCAAAGGAAAGACUCAUUCUGCUUGAAGGUGUCUCAGAAUAGGUAAAAUUCUACCCGGCCCUUGAAAGAUGAGUAGUAAAUAACCCAUCAGCGACAGGGCAAGAUAAGGACAAUCCUGGCCAAGGCUGCAGAGAGUGCAAAUCAUGGAGGCUUUAAAGAGGGGUAGACCUUGACAUUUGAGCAACUCAUCUUUGUGGCUAGAUUUCAUGGAGAAAAGAAAGAAGUGAUUGUGUAUCAGAUGUCAAGAAAAAGACUACCAUAAUGCCUACAUGUCAUCCUCUCAAGUCAAACAGCAUAUACAUUCUCCCCCAUGCCCAUCAUUGUCCUCUCCCAACUCAGAGGCUUAGACCACAUGUCCCCCUCUCUCUGCCUAUUCAAGGUCCCUGCAAAUAUCCCUCAGACCAAAGAGAUGCUUCCGUGCUUGCACUACGCAUAGUUUAUGUCAUUUAACAUUCAUUUGUAACUCUGUUAGGGUGGCUGCAUCUCCUGAGUAUAAAUUGUAUCCUUGCCCAUCUAUGUCAUGAACUUUCCAAAAGAUGGACCAGAUAUAUAUGGCUUGAAGCUCCCAAGGACAUAUUGCCACAUCCCUGGCAAUCAUAUUAUAGACUAAAUGUUGGUGAGUUAAUAUUAUAAGAACACUGUUGGUGUCGACAAAAUGGAAAAGGAAACUUAAGUCUGAAACAAUGUGGUGCUCUGCUGAAGUGUUAUUUCAAAAAGAAAAAGAAAUCAUUCUUCUAGAAGUGGGAUUAGUAAAGCUUACGUAUUUAGUACCUGACACAAACUGGACACUCAAUAAAUAUUUGUCCCAUAAGUAAAAUAUCAAAUUUUAUUGCCCAAGUUGAGUUGAUGUUAAUGGUUAGAUUGCUUACUCUACAGGUCAUCUCACUCUUCAUAUCAGCAAUCUAUUCCUGUGUUGCUGCUUUCAACCCACAAAGGCAAUAAUCAAUUGCCCUGAUACUCUCUUACAUUCCCCAAAAUGUAUGAACACAUGAACCUACUGCUAAGCCUCCAAUAGGUUUUACCUCAGUUACCAAUAGAAAAUAGGUAACAAGGCCGGGUGAGAUGGAUCACGCCUGUAAUCCCAGGACUUCAGGAGGCCGAGGCUGGCAGAUCACCUGAGGUCGGGAGUUUGAGACCA